GCACUUCAGCAGCACAUACACUAAAACUGGAACUGGAUAUGGAGAAGAUUAUCAUGGUCCCUGUCCGAGGAUGACAUGCAAUUAGGUGAAUUAAUGCAACAGAAAAUU
ensembl:snRNA U6 U6 spliceosomal RNA